rnacentral:rRNA from 1 species
UACGAAGGGGGCUAGCGUUGCUCGGAAUCACUGGGCGUAAAGCGCACGUAGGCGGCUUUUUAAGUCAGGGGUGAAAUCCUGGAGCUCAACUCCAGAACUGCCUUUGAUACUGGAAAGCUUGAGUCCGGAAGAGGUGAGUGGAACUCCGAGUGUAGAGGUGAAAUUCGUAGAUAUUCGGAAGAACACCAGUGGCGAAGGCGGCUCACUGGUCCGGUACUGACGCUGAGACGCGAAAGCGUGGGGAGCGAACAGG